rnacentral:rRNA from 1 species
GAUGAACGCUGGCGGCGUGCCUAAUACAUGCAAGUCGAGCGAACAGACGAGGAGCUUGCUCCUCUGACGUUAGCGGCGGACGGGUGAGUAACACGUGGAUAACCUACCUAUAAGACUGGGAUAACUUCGGGAAACCGGAGCUAAUACCGGAUAAUAUAUUGAACCGCAUGGUUCAAUAGUGAAAGACGGUUUUGCCGUCACUUAUAGAUGGAUCCGCGUCGCAUUAGCUAGUUGGUAAGGUAACGGCUUACCAAGGCAACGAUGCGUAGCCGACCUGUGAGGGUGAUCGGCCACACUGGAACGGAGACACGGUCCCGACUCCUACGGGAGGCAGCAGAAGGGAAUCUUCCGCAAUGGGCGAAAGCUUGACGGAGCAACGCCGCGUGAGUGAUGAAGGUCUUCGGAUCGUAAAACUCUGUUAUUAGGGAAGAACAAAUGUGUAAGUAACUAUGCACGUCUUGACGGUACCUAAUCAGAAAGCCACGGCUAACUACGUG